UACGGAGGAUGCAAGCGUUAUCCGGAAUGAUUGGGCGUAAAGCGUCCGCAGGUGGCUGUGUAAGUCUGCUGUCAAAGAGCGAAGCUCAACUUCGUAAAGGCAGUGGAAGCUACACGGCUAGAGUGCGUUCGGGGCAGAGGGAAUCCCUGGUGUAGCGGUGAAAUGCGUAGAGAUCAGGAAGAACACCGGUGGCGAAGGCGCGCUGCUAGGCCGCAACUGACACUGAGGGACGAAAGCUAGGGGAGCGAAUGGG
rnacentral:rRNA from 1 species